GAUGAAGAACGUAGCGAAAUGCGAUAAGUAAUGUGAAUUGCAGAAUUCAGUGAAUCAUCGAAUCUUUGAACGCACAUUGCGCCCGCCAGCAUUCUGGCGGGCAUGCCUGUUCGAGCGUCAUUUCAACCCUCGAGCCCCCCCGGGGGCCUCGGUGUUGGGGGACGGCACACCAGCCGCCCCCGAAAUGCAGUGGCGACCCCGCCGCAGCCUCCCCUGCGUAGUAGCACACACCUCGCACCGGAGCGCGGAGGCGGUCACGCCGUAAAACGCCCAACUUUCUUAGAGUUGACCUCGGAUCAGGUAGGAAUACCCGCUGAUCUUAAGCAUAUCAAUAAGCGGAGGA
rnacentral:misc_RNA from 1 species